rnacentral:tRNA from 1 species
UCGCGCAUGGUGGAUUCACAAUCCACUGCCUUGAUCCACUUGGCUACAUCCGCCCC